rnacentral:lncRNA from 1 species
CUGACCUUCAAGGGUAACAUCAUGCCAUCUAACCACAUCCAUUCCAUCUAUUGGCUUUAUCCUUUGUUGUCACCACUAGGAUCUAAGUUUCAUCUCCGUUCUCUGAGUCAUUAUCAGCGUCAAUGCAAUGGUACUAGAAAAGUGGUCAAAAAAUGCCUGAAGCAAGUGACUGAUGCAAUGAGGGCCUUAAAAACACCCAUGGAAUGGACUAAUCAAUAAUGAAGCAAGUAGUCUUAAUUAUUUAUAUAAAAACUAUCCUAAGAUCUCCACAAAAACAUCUACUUCUAUCCCCAGCGUUAACACUGCAAACACGACAGUCUCUGGUGUGUCUCCACCUGCAUGCUGGUCUCACACCAACUUAGUCUAAGUAAAGUCCAUGUCUUGAUGCUCAUCUCUCCUGAGCUCAAGGCGCUUUCCAAUUAUUUUAUUAAAUCUCAAGAUAUCAUCAUCUUUUUGACGCUAUUUGCUUUUGCCCUCACUGAUUCCUCUAUCUUUGAAUGCCAAAAAUUAUCCCACCUGGACAGAUUAGUGACUAAUAUUUCUCUACUUUCAUUUCCAUAGACACCGUCACCUUGGGCCUCCGCCACAUCUUUAUUCUUCCAAUUACAUUCUGUGUCUCUCUCUUCUGUGUAGCAAGCAAAGACAGCACAUAAAUGAGCCCGUAUGGCUCAGAAUGGUUCAUAAAUGCUUUCCUUUAUUAAAAGAUGUCUCCCUUGGA